GAAAUCAUCAAAAUUGUAUUCUUGUUAAUAAAAAGGCGAUGAAAAUCAAUAAAAUAUAAUUCCUUAAUUAACUAUUCUAAAGAUAUGCAUUUUGGUUUUUAAUAUUUUGUUUUACUUAAUAUCGUUUUGCACAUAAGAUAAUAAUCAGAGGUGACCUAGAAACGUCUGACAAUUGUCAGAAUAGGGUUUGUUUACUUCAAGUCUAAUAGAUUCUUGUAAUACUAAAAGUGUUUUGUUAUUUGCUAUCUUUCUGGUUAAGUCGGUUUUACCAAACUUUUCAAGUCGACUUUGGCAUAACUACUGAAUCGUCAAAAAAUGGAUGGUGCAUUGGGAUUUUAAAGCUCUUAGAAAAUUAGUUUGGGUUUUUUAACUAAUAGACGGUUGCAAAAAAAAAUUAACUGACAUUUCAUGGUAUAUGAUGGAAGAACCCAAAAUUGUCACUGUUGAAUUUUCAUUUCUUUGUUAUUUAAAACUAUCAAACUAACUUACAGAAAAAUAAAUUAAAUUAUAUUCCCUAGUAUUUUAAAGAGCGAUAAAACAACGUAGACGUAAUUGCUGAAGUAAAAAAAAAUUGAGUAGUAUUGUCUUCAAGAUUUCUUCACUAUGCCUAUAAAUCGAAACUAAAGAUAUCAACCCAUUUAGCAAUGGUAAACCAACUUCCUACAGAAUAAACUAGAUGCCAGUUAGAUCUGCGGUGAUUGAUAUUCAUAGCCAGAAUGGAACCCAAUGUAUCACCUCCAGAGCCUUAAUGAUGGACGCGUUGUAGUCCACAGUCUUUCGCAUCACACUCUUGCGCAGCCGCUUGCCGUCGAAGUCGUCCUGGG